GAUGAAUGCUGGCGGCGUGCCUAACACAUGCAAGUCGAGCGGCAGCGAGGGGUGCUUGCACCCUGUCGGCGAGCGGCGAACGGCUGAGUAACGCGUGGGAAUUUGCCCCAAAGUGAGGAAUAACUGCCCGAAAGGGUAGCUAAUGCCGCAUAUGGUCUUCGGAUUAAAGGAUUUAUCCGCUUUGGGAGAAGCCUGCGUUGGAUUAGGUUGUUGGUAGGGUAAUGGCCUACCAAGCCGACGAUCCAUAGCUGGUCUGAGAGGAUGAUCAGCCAGACUGGAACUGAGACACGGUCCAGACUCCUACGGGAGGCAGCAGUGAGGAAUCUUCCACAAUGGGCGAAAGCCUGAUGGAGCAACGCCGCGUGAAGGAUGAAGGCCUUCGGGUUGUAAACUUCUUUUAUGAGUGAAGAAUAUGACGGUAACUCAUGAAUAAGCACCGGCUAACUACGUG
rnacentral:rRNA from 1 species